ACUCUGCUUCAUAUAGCAUGGAUAGAUGGAAUGCCACUCUAUAGAAUUUAUCUUUAAGCUUGGGCGCCACCUUCCUAUCACACAACAUUCUCGAGGAGAGCCUCCACAUCAUCCAUCCUUCCCCAAUACGGUGGGAGACAUCCUCAUCAAUCUCUCCAUUCCCCUGAAUCAUGGACCCGAGAUACUUAAGACUAUCCCUCUUAGAAACAACCUAGGAAUUCAACCUUACUACUACCUCGUUCUCCUGCCUAAAGUCAUUUAAAUUGCACUCCAUAUACUCUAUCUUGGUCCUACUC
rnacentral:lncRNA from 1 species